CAGAACCUCUGCACCUGCUGCACGAGCUCCCACAGCCGCUGCUGCAGCACAGUGUGGGUGGUACUCACAGCUUCACACGCUGGUCUCACCUCCCAGCGCCUGGUGGGCAGCGACGUGUCCCUGCCCUCCCUGAGGCUGUUUCAGGGCUGGGGGCGGGGCUGUGAUUAUUGUUACCCUGGCAACGCCCACAUUACGUCAGCCGCUGUCACAAGAGCUGCCGGGUGCUGCAGCGUCGCACUGCUCUCACAGGGUUCCCUGGCAAAGGAACCUCCCAGACUCGCCAUGUACCUCAAGAUGUGCCGCUGCUGCUCUGGCUGUUCUGGCUCCAACCUCCUGACCUUGGGGACUGAGAGAAAGAAGCAGGAGAAAUGCAUACCAAUGCUAAAUGAACUGAUGCUGACCAUGAGAAGAGCUGAGAUUCUUAUCAAUACAGGCACAAGGAACUGAAGAGCACCUGUCGUCCAACUUUGGUCAGACACAGGACAUUAAGUGGCUUCUGGAACCCAUCAGCUGACUCAGGAUCAAGAUCAAUCAUUAUCUUCUUUGAAAGCUACUCAUUUGGUUUUUGAAUCUCUUUGGGGACAUUACGAAAUGGAGAUGCCAUCUGUCAUCCUGAGAUCAGCCCUGCAAAUGUAACGCCAUCAUUGUGUUGCUGUCACAAUCAGAGGAGAUAAUAUGUUGAUGGGAUAAUUGCCUUGAAUGCCACCAGCUUCCACUUUCAAGAGGGAAACAUCCGGCUCCUUUCUGAAACUGUGAAGUCUCCUUCUAAGUGUUUUCCUACUUUCAGUUCUUCAUAACACUCUUGAAGAAGCUGAGUGGACACCUCUGCGUCCCGGAGCCUUGGCCCCCAUACUUCUCUGUCCGGGAAGUGAAUGAUCACAAAAUCAGAGAAUGGUUUGGGUUGAAAGUGACCUUAAACAUCACCUAGUUCCAACCUCCAUGCCAUGGGCUGGGGCAGCUUCCACUAGACCCGGUUUCUCAAAGUCCCUUCCAACCUGGCCUUGAACACUUCCAGGGAUGGGGCAUCCACAUCUUCUCUGGACAGCUUGUUCCAGUGCCUCACCACCCUCACAGAGAAGAAUUUUUUCUUAUAUCUAAUAUGAAUCCACUCUCUUUGUGUUUAAAGACACUGCUCCUUGUCCUAUCACUACACACACUUGUAAAAAGUCUCCAGCUUUCUUGUAGGUCCCCCUUAGGUACAGGAAGGAUGCUGAGAGGUCUUUCUGGAGCCUUCUCUUCUUCAGGCUGAACAACACCAACUCUCUUAGCCUGGUCUCAUAGGAGAGGUGCUUCAGCCAUCUGACCAUUUUCAUCACCCUUCUCUGGACUUGCUCCGACAGACCUAUCUUUCUUAUGUUGGAGGCCUCAAAGCUGGACUCAUUACUCCAGGUGGAGUUUCAAGAGAGUGCAGGAGAGAGGGAGAAUCACCUCCCUCAACCUCCUGGUCACACUUCUUUUGAUACAGCCCAGGAUAUGUUUGGCUUUCUGAGCUGCAAGUGCACGUUGCCGGGUCAUGUUGAGCUUCUCAUCAACCAACACUCCCAAGUUUUUCUCCUCAGAGCUACUCUCAAUCCAUUCUCUGUCUACCCUGUAUUUGUGCCUGGGAUUGUCCCAGCCCUGAUCCAAUGAAAGUGAAUGGUAUGACUGCAUUUGAAUGAGCAGCAAUAUCAUGCCAUUGUGAAUACACAUUUGGCUUGUAACUAAGAUAUCAUGGUCUAGAAGAAAGACCAUGUGAUCUGAAGUCAGUAACUCUUGCUCCUUCCAUAUAUCAACCUUACAUGAAGGGAGUGCCUAUGAAAAAUUCCAAGAACAGCUAUUGUAAUUCUCCAUAUCUGUUAAGAGAUGUUCAGUGGUACUACAGAAAUGUGUGUAGUGUGACUUUUUUUUCUACUCUUCACAUAGGAAAAUACUGUGUUAUGUCAAAUAUUAGUGUGCUUAAUAUUAAUUUAAAUUAUAAUGUAUCAUCUCUUGCUCAAUCUUUUGUUCUCUUAUAAGAAUAUUAUUGUAUACUAAUUAACUGAUUAAGAAAAUAAAUAUGUUUUGUGAUGGAAGAAGAACGUAUUAAAGAAUUUCUAA